CUGAAGCAGGAGAAUGGCGUGAACCUGGGAGGCAGAGCUUGCAGUGAGCCAAGAUCGCGCCACUGCACUCCAGCCUGGGCUACAGAGCGAGACUCCGUCUCAAAAACAAAAAAAGGGAUGGAGUGCCGAAUGCAAAAUCAACGUGGACAUGGUAGAUACUGAGGCUCCCACCUGAAAACCUGUAUGACGGUGAUGGCUACCUCUGGUAAGUCAGGUCAAAUGAGGCCAUCAGGGUGGCCUGGAUCCAAUCUGACUAAUCUGACUAAUGUCCUUACAAGAAGAAGAGGUGAGGACACAGAGACACAUGUGAGGACACAGGGAGAAUGAGCCAAGGACAGAAGCCUCAGAGGAAACGCACUCUGCCCACACCUGCAUCUUGAACUUCAGCCUCCAGCCUCAUAGGCAGCCUCUCUGAGAGCCACUUCCAGUCCUGUUGUCAGCAGUGGAAGGUAGUGCUAGGCAUAAAGGCCAGAUGAAGGCAACGACCCUUAAAUUUGACUGGCAGAGUGAAUUAUACAUGUCAUGCGGUAGGCCUCCUUCUAAUCUAUCAUUUCAAAUUUGUCAGCUUAAAUAGGCAACGGAUAUUGAGGAAGUGAACUAUGCAAUGUCCUAAAUUGUAAAGAUAAUUUUUAAAAGUCAAUGUGUGCUAAAUAAGUAACCUCAAAGAUGGUUUUGUGAGAUCUUAACUUGAAAUAAUUUAUUUUAUCAUGCACCUCAUUUCCAGUAGUUUGGUAGUUCUGGCAACCCCAGUUGUGCUCAGCAGGUAGCCUUAGGAAUGAAACAGUUUGAAAGAGAGACAACCUCAUAGAGAGAUGGCUCUCAGUCCUCCUGAAAGUUCCUUGCAAUAACAUCCUUGCAGUUACACUGUUGGUCAAAUAAUGUCCCUAACCUAUAUUUAGAGAAUAUUAAAGAUAAGGCACUAUCUUUAUUAUUUAUUACAACAGAGGAACCUAUGUGCUUUGCAAGACCAAUUAAAGAAGAUUUUAACGCAUACAUUUAAAGCUCUGUUUUGUGAUGUCUUUAUUGAGAUUUCCACUCAUAAAGAAAGACAGAUGAGGAGUUGAAAAUAUACAGAAAGGCAAGAGUAUUGCCCCCACUCUAACAAGUAGAAACUAGAUAUACCAUAGAAUUAUAACUUCUCCUGAGCUCAGCAAACACCUGAGGUCAUAGGGUAACCAAAUAGUUCCAAAUCCAAAAAAAGACAAUUCCUUCCAAGGGUAGAAAGGAUUUGAGCGUUUGUCUACCAGUGGUGAAUGGGAGAAACAGAACCCCAGCUACCAUACAAGUAGGUAAGAAGAUAAACCUUCAAGACAGAUUUCUAGAAACCAAGAAUGAGCUAGCACGAGAGAAAGCCACAUCCAGGUUCUCUCUACAGCCUUCCACCAGAUUCUCGUGAGAGAGAUUUCAGGGCUGCAGCUGGAGGAUUAGAAAGAGCCUCACGGUGGUGCAGACGUGGACUGGGAAAGCGCUGUCACUGCGGGAUACUCGUGAGUCCCACCCAGACCCUCUCUUCUGUGGAACUAAAGCUCUAAUUUACUUUGAGGAGCAGGAAACAGUCAGUCAGUCCCAGGGCACAGGCGAACGAACAUGCAUAUGUCUGAGGAAGAAUUUUUUCAAGAAACCCUCUAACCUUUGGGGAAGAGAAGAAAACAAUCCUGGUCCCAGAGCCCUACUGGGCCUCCUACUACUGGGGGAGGGUAGAAAACACCAAACAUCUAGGGUUACCAGAUUUCGCAAAUAAAAAUACGUGAAAUUUGAAUUUCGUAGAACAAUAAAUAAUUUUUACUAUAAGUAUAUUCCAAUAUUUGGGACAUAGUGAUGUUAACAAACUUCAUUGUUUACAUGAAAUUUAAAUUUAAGUGGGAAUCCUGUAUUUUACCUGACAACCCUAGGCACACAAGCCCUGCCAAAGAUAUGCAGGAGAAUUCAGCUCCAAGGGAAGGAGUGGAAACCCCAACCCUGAAGUCCCAGACACACAGGGCCUGCCUGAAGCUGAGGCUGGACCAGGACGACACAGAAUUCUCCUGCUUCCCACCACAAGGAUUGUUCGUAGCAGGUAAAUAACUAGAAGUUCAAUGCCUGGAUCAUGUAGCAGGAACCCUUAGAUGUCUUUUCUACUAAGGACAGAUUUGGAAACAAAAUACAGGACCAGCUGCAUUGUCUUGCAUUAGAAAAUUCUCUGCUACCUGGUUAAAACAAAACAAAGAUGUGAGUUUGGGGUUUAUUUUUGACCAUUAAAGAGCAGUCAGUUUGUGGUUGUCAUGCUUCCUGCAAUG